rnacentral:rRNA from 1 species
UUAAGUUAGAAAGGGCGCACGGUGGAUGCCUUGACACUAGGAGUCGAUGAAGGACGGGACUAACGCCGAUAUGCUUCGGGGAGCUGUAAGUAAGCUUUGAUCCGAAGAUUUCCGAAUGGGGAAACCCACCAUACGUAAUGGUAUGGUAUCCUUAUCUGAAUACAUAGGGUAAGGAAGACAGACCCAGGGAACUGAAACAUCUAAGUACCUGGAGGAAGAGAAAGCAAAUGCGAUUUCCUGAGUAGCGGCGAGCGAAACGGAACAUAGCCCAAACCAAGAGGCUUGCCUCUUGGGGUUGUAGGACAUUCUAUACGGAGUUACAAAGGAACGAGGUAGACGAAGCGACCUGGAAAGGUCCGUCGUAGAGGGUAACAACCCCGUAGUCGAAACUUCGUUCUCUCUUGAAUGUAUCCUGAGUACGGCGGAACACGUGAAAUUCCGUCGGAAUCUGGGAGGACCAUCUCCCAAGGCUAAAUACUCCCUAGUGAUCGAUAGUGAACCAGUACCGUGAGGGAAAGGUGAAAAGCACCCCGGAAGGGGAGUGAAAGAGAUCCUGAAACCGUGUGCCUACAAAUAGUCAGAGCCCGUUAACGGGUGAUGGCGUGCCUUUUGUAGAAUGAACCGGCGAGUUACGAUCCCGUGCGAGGUUAAGCUGAAGAGGCGGAGCCGCAGCGAAAGCGAGUCUGAAUAGGGCGUUUAGUACGUGGUCGUAGACCCGAAACCAGGUGAUCUACCCAUGUCCAGGGUGAAGUUCAGGUAACACUGAAUGGAGGCCCGAACCCACGCACGUUGAAAAGUGCGGGGAUGAGGUGUGGGUAGCGGAGAAAUUCCAAUCGAACCUGGAGAUAGCUGGUUCUCCCCGAAAUAGCUUUAGGGCUAGCCUUAAGUGUAAGAGUCUUGGAGGUAGAGCACUGAUUGGACUAGGGGUCCUCAUCGGAUUACCGAAUUCAGUCAAACUCCGAAUGCCAAUGACUUAUCCUUAGGAGUCAGACUGCGAGUGAUAAGAUCCGUAGUCAAAAGGGAAACAGCCCAGACCGCCAGCUAAGGUCCCAAAGUGUGUAUUAAGUGGAAAAGGAUGUGGAGUUGCUUAGACAACUAGGAUGUUGGCUUAGAAGCAGCCACCAUUUAAAGAGUGCGUAAUAGCUCACUAGUCGAGUGACUCUGCGCCGAAAAUGUACCGGGGCUAAAUACACCACCGAAGCUGCGGAUUGAUACCAAUGGUAUCAGUGGUAGGGGAGCGUUCUAAGGACAGUGAAGUCAGACCGUAAGGACUGGUGGAGUGCUUAGAAGUGAGAAUGCCGGUAUGAGUAGCGAAAGACGGGUGAGAAUCCCGUCCACCGAAUGCCUAAGGUUUCCUGAGGAAGGCUCGUCCGCUCAGGGUUAGUCAGGACCUAAGCCGAGGCCGACAGGCGUAGGCGAUGGACAACAGGUUGAUAUUCCUGUACCACCUCUUUAUCGUUUGAGCAAUGGAGGGACGCAGAAGGAUAGAAGAAGCGUGCGAUUGGUUGUGCACGUCCAAGCAGUUAGGCUGAUAAGUAGGCAAAUCCGCUUAUCGUAAAGGCUGAGCUGUGAUGGGGAAGCUCCUUAUGGAGCGAAGUCUUUGAUUCCCCGCUGCCAAGAAAAGCUUCUAGCGAGAUAAAAGGUGCCUGUACCGCAAACCGACACAGGUAGGCGAGGAGAGAAUCCUAAGGUGUGCGAGAGAACUCUGGUUAAGGAACUCGGCAAAAUGACCCCGUAACUUCGGGAGAAGGGGUGCUUUCUUAACGGAAAGCCGCAGUGAAUAGGCCCAAGCGACUGUUUAGCAAAAACACAGCUCUCUGCGAAGCCGUAAGGCGAAGUAUAGGGGUGACACCUGCCCGGUGCUGGAAGGUUAAGGAGAGGGGUUAGCGUAAGCGAAGCUCUGAACUGAAGCCCCAGUAAACGGCGGCCGUAACUAUAACGGUCCUAAGGUAGCGAAAUUCCUUGUCGGGUAAGUUCCGACCCGCACGAAAGGUGUAACGAUUUGGGCACUGUCUCAACCAGAGACUCGGUGAAAUUAUAGUACCUGUGAAGAUGCAGGUUACCCACGACAGGACGGAAAGACCCCGUGGAGCUUUACUGUAGCCUGAUAUUGAAUUUUGGUACAGUUUGUACAGGAUAGGCGGGAGCCAUUGAAACCGGAGCGCUAGCUUCGGUGGAGGCGCUGGUGGGAUACCGCCCUGACUGUAUUGAAAUUCUAACCUACGGGUCUUAUCGACCCGGGAGACAGUGUCAGGUGGGCAGUUUGACUGGGGCGGUCGCCUCCUAAAGUGUAACGGAGGCGCCCAAAGGUUCCCUCAGAAUGGUUGGAAAUCAUUCGUAGAGUGCAAAGGCAUAAGGGAGCUUGACUGCGAGACCUACAAGUCGAGCAGGGACGAAAGUCGGGCUUAGUGAUCCGGUGGUUCCGCAUGGAAGGGCCAUCGCUCAACGGAUAAAAGCUACCCCGGGGAUAACAGGCUUAUCUCCCCCAAGAGUCCACAUCGACGGGGAGGUUUGGCACCUCGAUGUCGGCUCAUCGCAUCCUGGGGCUGUAGUCGGUCCCAAGGGUUGGGCUGUUCGCCCAUUAAAGCGGUACGCGAGCUGGGUUCAGAACGUCGUGAGACAGUUCGGUCCCUAUCCGUCGUGGGCGUAGGAAAUUUGAGAGGAGCUGUCCUUAGUACGAGAGGACCGGGAUGGACGCACCGCUGGUGUACCAGUUGUUCUGCCAAGGGCAUAGCUGGGUAGCUAUGUGCGGAAGGGAUAAGUGCUGAAAGCAUCUAAGCAUGAAGCCCCCCUCAAGAUGAGAUUUCCCAUAGCGUAAGCUAGUAAGAUCCCUGAAAGAUGAUCAGGUUGAUAGGUUCGAGGUGGAAGCAUGGUGACAUGUGGAGCUGACGAAUACUAAUAGAUCGAGGACUUAACCAU